rnacentral:rRNA from 1 species
GUGAGGAAUAUUGGUCAAUGGGCGAGAGCCUGAACCAGCCAAGUCGCGUGAAGGAAGAAGGAUCUAUGGUUCGUAAACUUCUUUUGCAGGGGAAUAAAGUGCGGGACGUGUCCUGUUUUGUAUGUACCCUGAGAAUAAGGAUCGGCUAACUCCGUGCCAGCAGCCGCGGUAAUACGGAGGAUCCGAGCGUUAUCCGGAUUUAUUGGGUUUAAAGGGUGCGUAGGUGGUUUGAUAAGUCAGGGGUGAAAGUUUGCAGCUUAACUGUAAAAAUGCCGUUGAAACUGUCGGACUUGAGUGUAAAUGAGGUAGGCGGAAUGCGUGGUGGAGCGGUGAAAUGCAUAGAUAUCACGCAGAACUCCGAUUGCGAAGGCAGCUUACUAAGCUACAACUGACACUGAAGCACGAAAGCGUGGGGAUCAAACAGGAUUAGAUACCUGAGUAGUCC